GACGAACGCUGGCGGCGUGCUUAACACAUGCAAGUCGAGCGGUAAGGCCCUUUUGGGGGUACACGAGCGGCGAACGGGUGAGUAACACGUGGGUGACCUGCCCUCAGCUCUGGGAUAAGCCUGGGAAACUGGGUCUAAUACUGGAUAUGACCUUUCCUCGCAUGGGGUUGGGUGGAAAGUUUUUCGGCUGGGGAUGGGCCCGCGGCCUAUCAGCUUGUUGGUGGGGUGAUGGCCUACCAAGGCGACGACGGGUAGCCGGCCUGAGAGGGCGACCGGCCACACUGGGACUGAGACACGGCCCAGACUCCUACGGGAGGCAGCAGUGGGGAAUAUUGCGCAAUGGGCGGAAGCCUGACGCAGCGACGCCGCGUGGGGGAGUGACGGCC
rnacentral:rRNA from 1 species